GACGAACGCUGGCGGCGUGCUUAACACAUGCAAGUCGAACGGGGCUACUAUGAUGGAGUUUUCGGACAACUGAUUAGUAUGCCUAGUGGCGGACGGGUGAGUAACGCGUGAGUAACCUGCCUUUCAGAGGGGGACAACAGCUGGAAACGGCUGCUAAUACCGCAUAAUAUAUACAGGUCGCAUGAUUUGUAUAUCAAAGAUUUAUCGCUGAAAGAUGGACUCGCGUCUGAUUAGCUAGUUGGCGGGGUAACGGCCCACCAAGGCGACGAUCAGUAGCCGGACUGAGAGGAAGGUCCCCCCACAUUGGGUACUGAGACACGGACCAAACUCCUACGGGGGGCAGCAGUGAGGAAUAUUGGGUCAAUGGGCCGAGAGGCUGAACCAGCCAAGUCGCGUGAAGGAAGAAGGGAUC
rnacentral:rRNA from 1 species